rnacentral:rRNA from 1 species
UUGGAGGGCAAGUCUGGUGCCAACAGCCGCGGUAAUUCCAGCUCCAAUAGCGUAUAUUAAAGUUGUUGCAGUUAAAAAGCUCGUAGUUGAAUUUCGGAAUCAAUGUUUCGGUCAUGCCGUUGGUAUGUACUGAUAUUAUUGAUUUCUCACCUUCUAAAGAACCGUAAUGCCAUUAAUUUGGUGUCACGGGGAAUUAGGACUGUUACCUUGAAAAAAUUAGAGUGUUUAAAGCAGGCUCACGCUUGAAUACAUUAGCAUGGAAUAAUGAAAUAGGACAUCCGAUUCUAUUUUGUUGGUUUCUAGGAUCGAUGUAAUGAUUAAUAGGGAUAGUUGGGGGCAUUAGUAUUCAAUUGUCAGAGGUGAAAUUCUUGGAUUUAUUGAAGACUAACUACUGCGAAAGCAUUUGCCAAGGAUGUUUUCAUUAAUCAAGAACGAAAGUUAGGGGAUCGAAGACGAUCAGAUACCGUCGUAGUCUUAACCAUAAACUAUGCCGACUAGGGAUCGGAUGAUGUUAAUUUUUUAAUGACUCAUUCGGCGCCUUACGGGAAAC